CUUUUUUUCUCUCUCUCUCUCUCUGUCACAGGGCGUGUGCAUGCGCGGGGGAGAAGGAAUGUGGACAGGGGCGCCUGCCGCUUGCCUUGCUUGAGCAACCGUUGACGUUCCCGCUCACCCCGGCCCGUGGCAUGAACGUGUGCGUGCGUGUGCGCGCGUUCUCACGGGUCCAGCAAGCACCACGCCCUGAAACUUCGCUCGCUUGUGCAAAGAAAUGGGAAGAUGCUUGCUCACUGGGAAGUAAAGGUUUCAACAAAAACACCACACGGAAUGCCUUUAAACAUACUCAAAACGGCAGUGAACGCUUUAUGGCGCAUUCUUUCUCUCCUUCUGUCUCACAAACAUACACAUACACACGCACCAUUGUAUACGUAUGUGCAAGUGGGGGAGUGAUUGGAAGAGCCAGGGCCUGCUUCUACUAGUGAAUGACGUCACAGGAUUGGUUGAAACGCACCCACCCGUGUCGCUGACCAAUCAGCUGCAGUAUUGCUGGAAGUUGAGCUCUCCAUCACUGCUCUUGUCCAAUAGGCAGGAGCAAAUUUGUGCUAAGUGAAUGUGUCACCUUGAACAGUUAAUUGAGACUUCAACGCAAGCAGAUGUGGUUGAGGCAAUAUUUGGAGCUCUACCACUAUCUGGUGGACUUAACUGAACUGCAUGCACAUUUAAAUAAAUAAAUAAAUAAAUAAAAAUGAAGCAUGGAAUUUUCCACACUUGGAAGUCAGGAGUUACUAUUUUUACAAAAGACACACUGAAAAUAUUGUGUUAAGCCAUUAUUAUAUUGCAGAAAGUACAAAGUUGUUUCAUUACAUAGGAUUAAGAAUGAUUUUGUUGGACGUAUAAUUACCUUGUCAGGACACACCCCUACCAAGAAUACAACGGGUCAGAUGACUGUAAACACAGGGCCGUUGUUGUGAGUCACCAGUUUAACUUUGUGUAAUUGCUGCCGUAUCUGUCUACAUCUGCAAGUACUUGCUAGUAGAUGACUAAACAUACCAUUGAGUGUCUUGUCUUGCGACACACAUUCUGAACAGUUCCCAGGUGUCCGAACACACAUCUGUGGCUUUGGUUCAAAUACCCCACAGGGUCGAGAACGACAGCAAACUUAUCUCAUUUUAACGGUUGAAACGGGUGAAGUGCUCCAGCGAGUGAAAACAAAGUCAUAAAACUGGCACAAUUACACCGCCCGCGUCGCCUAAAACUUUUUCCGAACGAGUCACUUGGGCUCAGCGACUGACAGGCCUUAUUAGUUUAGCUAAAGCCCUGACAAGAUGUGGAUUAGGGAGACAGUUAUAGCGCUAACAAGCUCUGUGGCUUCAUCAUCCAAAACCUACUUUGCAGAAGUUUUCAGGUCCCCAACAUCCUGAGUCAUUAGUGAGGAAGGAGAGUGCAGCUGCGCAUAUUUGAGUUUAUACACCAUCAAUCAAAAUGGCUAGUAGGAUGUCAAAAGAACUUUGUGGCUCUUUAUAUAAAAUUAUUACAAAAUUAUUGUAUUACAUAUGCCAGGUUUUUGUGAUGGGGGGGGGAUCAGAGCAAGAUAAAUCAUUUCAAAGGUUUCACCUUUUACAUGUACGAAGGCAGCAGAACAGUGGUUAAGUGGUCUGUAGGUGUGGCAGAAGAGUUUAAGGGGGAGGUGGGACUGGAUCAGGGAUCGUCUCUGAGCCCCUUCCUGUUUGCAGUGGUGAUGGCUAGGCUGACAGAUGAGGUUAGACUGGAAUCCCCGUGGACCACGAUGUUCGCAGAUGACAUUGUGAUCUGAAGUGUAAGCAGGGAGCAGGUGGAGGAACAUUAAGAAAAUGGGAGGCAUGCGCUGGAAAGGAGAGGAAUGAAGAUUAGCUGAAGUAAGACAGAAUACAUGUACAUGAAUGAGAGGGGUCGAGGGGGAAGAGUGAGGCUACAGGGAGAAGAGAUAGUGAGGUUGGAGGACUUUAAAUACUUGGGGUCAACAGUCCAGAGUCUACAGUUCUCUCUAGGAGUGGCAAGGUUGGACAGAAUUAGAAAUGAGCUGAUUAGAGGGACAGCCAAGGUUAGAUGUUUUGGAGACAAAGUUAGAGAGAGCAGACUACGAUGGUUUGGACAGUCACAGGAAAUAUAGUGAGUAUACUGUUAGAAGGAUGAUGAGGAUGGAGCUGCCAGGCAAGAGAGCUCGAGGAAGACCAAAGAGAAGGUUGAUGGAAGUAGUGGGGGAAGACAUGAAAGCAGUUGGUGUUAGAGAUGAGGAUGCAGCUCAGCUUACAUGGAAAAGGAUGACGUGUGAGACAGGCUGAAAGGCAAAGAAGAAUGUGACAUAUUACCUGUAAAACAACCACUUUCAUACUCAGCUUUAAUGAAAACAUCAAUGGUGUCUCCUGUCACGGAGUAAAACAUACACAGUGUCAAAGCGGAAGUCAAAGUUUGUCAUACAAGAUGAACAACUUUGGAUCCAUGCUCACAAGAUAUAGUUAUAAUUUUCUGCUUGUGAUCUCAAUAUGGCAGCCCCAUCAACAUGAUAAGUCUGCCAAGCAACACAUUCAACAAAAAUGGCCCACGAAGCUGCUCAGAAAACAUAUAUUAGCUGUCAUGUUUAGGGCAGUGAUUUUUAAAGUGUGUUACGUAUAUGUACUGGUGGUUUUUAAAGAUCACUAAGGCCUACUAUGCUACUGGUAAUGGCUGGAGAGGCAAUUUUUAUUUUAUUUUUUUCUAAGAUGGUACUUGUAAAAUUUUGAGAACCACCGGUUUAGGGCAUUAGGGUUAUUACUGUUUUUUCAACAAAGCCGAUAGACUGGGAUUCUAUAUUUGUAGUCGCCGGGAUCUCAAAUUUGGGUCGUAACCCACACGUGUUAUAGGUUGUUUUGUACAGGGGAAAACGCCGGCCAAAGACAAAUAUAUGCCAUCGCUGAUGAAACUGAAAAAAUGCUUAUAUGACAAAUUUCAAAAGCCCCUUGAAAACCAACAUAGAACUUUGACCCAACAUGGUAGCUUCCCGUCACAGCCAAAAGCUACAUAUUGUGUUAAAAAAAAAACUAUUUAAAAGUCCUUAUAAAACAAAGAAAUCUAAGCAGUAUUUAAAAACAAAGAGUCUCUGUCAAUGCAACCAUGAACAAAAACGAUUACUCCUACCUCGAAAGUCUUCUUUAGAAACAAAUAGUUUCAGAAAAGGUACUCCGUAGCUGUGUGGCUAAAUGCUAACCCAGAAUUCUUCCCAACAUGCUUCCGGGUCGACUGAUCCAAUAUAGUGGCUUCUGAUUGAUCAGAUAAGACGUCAAUCAACUAAAUUGACCAGAAGCAAGAAAAUAAAAACUCGAGUUUACUUAAAAUCACCAUAGUUCACUCGUUUCACUUUAAGUAAAUAUUCAAUCUAUACACAGUGGAUAUCUGUGUAUAGAUACCAUCCAUUUUCUACAGAUCCUGUCCUCAUUAGGGUCACGGGUAAGCUGAAACCUUUCUCAGCUGACUUUGGGCGAUAGGUAGGGUACACCCUGGACUGGUCGCCAGCCAAUCACAGGUCACAUAUAGCCAAAUAACACUCACAUUCCCACCUAUGAGCAAUUAAGAGACUUCAAGUACCUAAAAUGAAUGAUUUGGGAAUGUGGGAAGAAGCUGGAGUAUCUGGAGAAAGUGCAGGAAUAACUAAACACAGGAAGGCACGAGCUGGGAUUCGAAUGCCAAAUCUCAAAACCGCAAGACGGAUGUAAUGCAACUGUGACUGUUGACAAAGUCUUGUGUGUGAACAGAACAGGCCCUGAGACUGUUUGAUGCCCACAUUUUAUUAACCUGCUGCCAUGGUAACAAAGGUGACAAGUAUGAAAGUUUCAACAACAAAAAAAGCUCUGCAUGCUGCCACACAGCAUGUGAUGCCACAUUAGUAAAUCAUCAGUCAACCUAAUAAUACAGUGUUACCUUCAAAAUGAAACACAAAUUAAGGACUUUAGUGCACAGAAUGACUUA